GACGAACGCUGGCGGCGUGCUUAACACAUGCAAGUCGAACGAAGAGCGAUGGAAGCUUGCUUCUAUCAAUCUUAGUGGCGAACGGGUGAGUAACGCGUAAUCAACCUGCCCUUCAGAGGGGGACAACAGCUGGAAACGACUGCUAAUACCGCAUACGAUCUAAUCUCGGCAUCGAGGAUAGAUGAAAGGUGGCCUCUACAUGUAAGCUAUCACUGAAGGAGGGGAUUGCGUCUGAUUAGCUAGUUGGAGGGGUAACGGCCCACCAAGGCGAUGAUCAGUAGCCGGUCUGAGAGGAUGAACGGCCACAUUGGGACUGAGACACGGCCCAGACUCCUACGGGAGGCAGCAGUGGGGAAUCUUCCGCAAUGGACGAAAGUCUGACGGAGCAACGCCGCGUGAGUGAUGACGGCCUUCGGGUUGUAAAGCUCUGUUAAUCGGGACGAAAGGCCUUCUUGCGAAUAGUGAGAAGGAUUGACGGUACCGGAAUAGAAAGCCACGGCUAACUACGUG
rnacentral:rRNA from 1 species